GACAAAACACCACCGUCCGAAACAAUCCGUCCGAACCGAACUGGAUUUUGGCAAACGGGUCGGAUAAUUUCGGGUUGCGGAUUCCAACGGUUCAUUGAUUUGGAUUACAUCGGAUGAUUACGGACGAGUUCGGUUGGUAUUAUUUGGUCCGUCGGAAUCCGAAUCCGACCGAACAUACACAUAUGAGAGCUGGACUUUCAGAGCUGGACUUUCAAUUAAUCUUGGCCCAAGCUAUCUCUCAAUUUAUGGCCCAGAGUAAAUGUUCAUAAAGGAAGCUUCGUUGUCGUCGCUCGCCGUCGCUUGCAAACCUAUCUGUUGCAUAUCUAUUCGUUCCUCUCUGAUCCAUGAUUAAGUUUUUUGUAUUUCUCUUGUGCAGAUCUACGACUUCAAUCGCAUUCCUUGGAGCUCUUAAUCUCAUAGAUAUAUUAUAUUAUGGUUUGGUUUGUUUUUGUAACAGGGAAGGGCUUUAUAACAAGCAGAAGAAGCAGGGAUUUGAAGCAUGAAGCAUAUUUGAAGCUGAUCUGAUGUAGAUUUGAAGCUGAUCAGAUCUGAAGGGGAUUUGAAGUAGAUCUGAAUGGGAUUGGAAACAGAUCUAAAGCAAGGAUUAUUUAGUUAAAAACUAUGUUUGAUUAUGCAGAUCUGGGUGAUGAACUAAUUUUCACCAUAAGAGGCGAUUCAACUGCUUGAAUGAAAUGAAGACAACAUGUGGAUAAAUAUCUGCAACAAGUUGACUUCUAUAAGCAUGGCUUUAGUGAUUCUAAAGGGGUAGUGAACUUGAGUGUUUUUACUACUUGGAAUCACAUUUUCUGAAGCAUUAUUACUUGAAAUCACAUUUUCCAGAAUAUUUUGAUGAUUUAAACAGUGGGAUUUUAGUGGCAGAUGAUUUAAGCUGUGAAUUUCAUGAAGUUCUUGUAGGAGAAUUCUGUUUCAAAACUGUCUUAUUUUUUUUUUUGUAUUUUUGAUGAUUUAUUAUUUUGUAUGAAAAAAUGGAACACAAUAGUGUUCUAAAUAAAAAUAACCAUAUUGUGUUGUAAUUGGGCCAUUUUUGAAAACAUGAAAUAUGUUGUAUGAAAAAAAUCGAACACA